UUCUUUCUAAUUUCACAUCAGACCCAGAUUUGACUGUUCGAACCAAAGCACUUGGUGCAAUAUCCUCUUUAAUUCGGCACAACAAGCCAGGUAUUACUGCAUUUCGUCUGGCAAAUGGUUACGCGGGCUUGAGAGAUGCUUUGGGUUCUGGGAGUGUGAGAUUUCAAAGGAAGGCUCUCAAUUUGAUCCAUUACCUACUGCAUGAGAAUAGUUCGGAUUGCAGUGUUGUGAGUGAGCUAGGAUUCCCGCGCAUAUUGUUGCACCUUGCAUCAAGUGAAGAUGCUGAAGUACGAGAGGCUGCCCUUCGGGGCCUUCUUGAGCUUGCUCAAGACAGGAGAGGUGAGAAUAGUGGCAGGUUAGGGGAAGAAGAUGAGAAAUUGAAGCAACUCCUUGAAGAACGGAUUAACAGUAUCAGCUUGAUGUCGUCUGGAGAUCUCGAGGCAGCUAGAGAGGAGAGGCAACUGGUAGACUCACUCUGGAAUGCCCACUACAACGAACCAUCAUCUCUACGUGAGAAAGGGGCUUCUUGUUCUCCCUGGAGAAGAUUCCUUACCACCUGAUGUUGCCAGCAAGCAUUUUGAACCUCCACUCAGAGCCUGGGCCGCAAAUAGGUCGACAGAUAACAAUUCCAGUACUGAAAAGAAGCAAACUCCUUUAUUAUUAGGAUUGGGUCCUCCACCAGAGGCUGCAAAUGCCCAAGGAACUUCAAGCACCAGGGUAAAUAUUGAUAAGCAGAACAGUGCCUCGUGAUAAAUCACUAAUGUAGCACAGACCUUUUAUCAUUGUUGAAGCA
rnacentral:misc_RNA from 1 species